UACUACACUUGCAUUUUAAACAGUGUGUCAAAGAACAUAAAAGUCUACUUACAGCAGCCAUGGAAUUGAGCUGAUCAAUGUAGAAUUCAGGCCAACUUGUAGCUCCUUUCUCAACAUCACUUUGUUGAGAAUACAUUUUACAUUGUUUCUUCAUUCUUCUUCUUACUGAGGUAGACAUUCACAGCUAUAUCUGGGACUUCACUAUCAUCUCUACUCACCUCGAAGAUGACUGUGAUACACUUCUCUCACCACCAACAGCAUUUGAAUCCUUAGUCUCUCACUAGCUAUGUGACUCUUAAGUAACCUCUUUGUGACUCAGUUUUCAUUUCCUUACCUGUGAAAUAGGUGCCUGCCUCCUCAUAGCAUCUUUGUGAGAACUUAAAAAGUUGAUACAAAUAAAGCAAGCACUGGGAAGAGUAUACACAAAACACGCUCAAUAAAUGCUAGCUCUGACAAUAAUGAUACUGUUCCAGAGUCUCCAGUUAUGUCCAUUCAGUGUCCUUACAGUAACUGGGACUGUAAAAAUUACAGCAACCAGUUUGGAAGUAAAUUUUGGUAGUAAUUGUUCACAUUUAAAAUCCAGAUAGCCUUUGACCCUGUAAGUUUACUUUCAGGAAUUUAGCCUAUAAUUACAUGUUCACACUUGUACAGAUAUAUAAUCACGAAAAUUUUUCACUAUAGCACUGUUUGAAUUAACAAACAAUACAAAGGGGAAUAAAUAUAUAGAGAGGGGCUAGGUGCAGUGGCUCACACCUGUAAUCCCGGCACUUUGGGAGGCCAAGGUGGGAGGAUCACUUGAGGCCCGGAGUUCAAGAUGAGCCUGGGCAACAUAGCAAGACCCCAUCUCUCCAAAAUAAAUAAAUAAAUAAAACAAUUAGCCAGGCUUGUUGACACAUGCCUGUAGCCCUAGCUACUCAGGAGGCUGAGGUGGGAGGAUCACUUGAGCCUAGGAGUUCACCAGCCAGGGUGACAUAGCAAGAUCCUAUCUCACAAACAAUAAAGAAAAGACAAGCAAAUAUACUGUCGGGGAGAGAAUGCUUCAGAAUAUCAUCUUUCCCAUCUGUAGGGAAAAAUAUGUAUACACUACACACAAACAUUUCCAGAAAUAUAAAUAAAACUUAACAAUGGCUACCUCUGGAUAACAGAAGGGAAGGUUUUCUUUUUUUUUUUUUUUAACUUAUAAACUUCUAUACCAUGCAAAUUUUUAUUUUACCAAGAACAUACACUAUUUUUACAAUUAGAAGUAAGUUCUAAAGCAUUAUGCAUUGUCAGGACAAGAGCUUUGCUUUGUUUGACGUUUGGGGUGACAUGGAAUGCAUCAAGACCCUUCAGCAUCUGGAAUGUCUCUGUCCUCCACUCCUGGGGCACCCCUCCACCUCCCACAGCAAAUAAUUUAAACCAUUUCUCUACUAAUUGUCUUCUCUUACUGGAUUUCUAUUUUUAAAACUCACCAUAAUGUCAAUAUCAGCUGUUUAUGCAGAGAGAGAAUCUCUGAUUUGGGACAAGAUUUGUAUACCCAAAGCAUGCUAAAAUUUUCAAAAUUUCUAUACUCAUAUAUUUAGAAAUUUGUGUGACAAAAAUUUCUUCGUAGCAGCUGAAGUCUUCUGUUGAUAUAGGUGAGACUCAAAAUGCAGUUAGAAAAUUAAGUCUUUAAGGAAGAAUAACUUCUUCUGAAGUUAGCACAGGACACUUUCUUAAUAGGAUCAUUUCCCAAAUAAUAAUACAUAAGUAUGUCAGAGUUUUUUUGUUUGUUUUUUUUGUUUUUUUUCAGUUUAAGAUGUUCUUAGUAAGGCCCAAAAUAAGCUAUGCAAAGGUCAAUCAAUUGUAAAGGACAUGCUCUGCGGUUGUUCGCUAGACCACAAAUCACAGGCUGAAGCAACAUUCAUUUAGUCAGCUAAAGCCAUAAAUCUCUAUGUGUGCUGUUACGAAUUGAGGAGGUUCUUAGAUAAUAUCUGUCAAGGAAGAAAGACACACUCUUUAACUGUCUAGACUGGCUGAAACUCUUCUAGCAAUGUAUACUAAUACCAUCAUCUCAAAUAUAGUGGAGAUACAGUAAGGCUUAACCAAACAAAUGUCAACAGCAGAAGAAUACUGUUUCAGUAUGACACAAAGUGAAUUUUAUUGUGAUCAUUUUCAUUACAGGGGAAAGGCAAAUAAUUGCUAAUAAAAACCUGCUCUCUUUGCAAAGAACCUGCUUUUAGAAAUUUCAAGUGAACCGUAAUCAUAUAUAGAAUGAAAAAAUUCUAUCCAUUGUUAAUAAGCAAAAUAGUCACCUUGUUCAUUAAUUUGUCACUACUGGCCAGGCACGGUGGCUCACACCUGUAAUCCCAGCACUUUGGGAGACUGAGGUGGGUGGAUCACUUGAGGCUGGGAGUUCGAUACCAGCCUGGCCAAUAUGGUGAAACCCCAUCUCUACUAAAAAUAAAAAUAAAAUAAUAAUAAUUUUAAAAAAGUUAGCUGGGCAUGGCGGCGCAUGCCUGUAAUCCUAGCUACUCAGGAGGCUAAGGCGUGAGAAUCGCUUGAACCGGGAGGCGGAGGUUGCAGUAAGCCGAGAUCGCACCACUGCACUCCAGCCUGGGCCACAGAGCAAGACCCUGUCUCAAAAAAAAAAAAAAAAGGAAAAAAUUUGUCACUACUAUUCUAGGUAACACCAGUCCAAUCCCAUACACUAAUGAAUACAACAAACAUUAAAUAAAUUCACUCUACACCUAAAAUUUAUACAGAAACCUAGGCAGAAAAGGGCAGAUAGGCCAAAAUAGUUUAUUGUGUUAGGUUAUAACUCCAUGAUGUGUGGCAUCCAAAAGAACUCUUAUGUUAGAGAAUAGGUGCCAACAUAAGACCAGGUCCAAG
rnacentral:lncRNA from 10 species